rnacentral:lncRNA from 1 species
UAAUGAAAUUCGAAGGGAUACUAUCGGGACGAUCUCUUGUUCUAAUCUUAAGAUUAUUUUAUAUGGGGAUAGUCUAAAAGCUGACGAGGACAAUAUGCAAAUAUUUCAUAAAGUUUCUGAAUACAUUAAUAAAACAAAACGUUUUGAAAGUUAAUCUAGUAUAUGUAUAUAUAUAUUAUAUAUUUAGACUUUUUUUUUUAAAUAUGAUGUUAAAUCGAGUGGAUUGUCCCGUGUAAUUGAUUGUGGUCGGA